rnacentral:rRNA from 1 species
AUGGCGCUCGCCACCUCCCACCGCCACCUCGUUCGCCCCGCCGCCGCGGCCCCUCGCGUGCCGCUGCGUCCCCUCCGCUUCGCCGCCCCCCGAUCUCUCCCGAGGAUUUGUUGCCAAUCUAUCAACUCAGCUAACGUGUUGGGAGCUUCCUCAAUGACAGCUGACGACGCAGUUCCACAGCCAGUUGUACUGAUAGACCAAGACUCAGACCGUGAUGCAACCAUUGUGCAGCUGAGUUUUGGAGAUCGUUUGGGGGCACUACUUGAUACGAUGAAGGCACUCAAGGACCUGGGCCUUGAUGUGACGAAAGGAAGUGUGGCAACUGAUUCAUCUGUCACACAAACAAAGUUCCACAUCAUGCGAUUAGGGCGUAAGGUUGAGGACCCUGACAUGUUGGAAACAAUACGGCUGACCAUCAUUAACAACCUUCUGCAGUAUCAUCCCGAAUCAAGCGAGAAGCUAGCUAUGGGUGAAUUUUUUGGAAUCAAAGCCCCUGAGAAGAAGGUUGAUGUUGAUGUUGCAACACAUGUAAUUGUGCAAGAUGAUGGACCGAAAAGAAGCAUGCUUUACAUAGAGACAGCUGAUCGACCAGGCUUACUCUUGGAAGUAAUCAAGAUCAUUACUGACGUAAAUGUUGAUGUGGAAUCAGCUGAGAUUGAUACUGAGGGCUUGGUUGCCAAGGACAAGUUUCAUGUGAGUUACAGAGGGGCAAAACUUAACAGCUCGUUAUCUCUGGUGCUGGUUAAUUGUUUGCGCUAUUACCUCCGGAGGCCCGAGACAGAUGAAGACAGCUAUUGA